GGAGAAUUGAUAAGCGCUGCUUAUCAAUAUAAGUUUCCGUGUUUCGUUUUCGUUUAGUUUUGAGAGUUCAAUUCAGUAUUGACUCUUAAAUGAGGAUAUGAUAUAAAUAAAUCCUGCAAUUUGUAUGGGCCUAUAGCUCAGCUGGUUAGAGCGCACGCCUGAUAAGCGUGAGGUCGAUGGUUCGAGUCCAUUUAGGCCCACCAUACAUUUUGGGGCCUUAGCUCAGCUGGGAGAGCGCCUGCCUUGCACGCAGGAGGUCAGCGGUUCGAUCCCGCUAGGCUCCACCAAAAAGCUAUUUUAAAUAGCAAAUGGUAUGUUCUUUGAAAACUAGAUAACAGUGUAGCUCAUAUUUUUUAAUUUUUAGUUU
rnacentral:tRNA from 1 species